rnacentral:rRNA from 1 species
GACGAACGCUGGCGGCGUGCUUAACACAUGCAAGUCGAACGGAAAGGCCCUGCUUUUGUGGGGUGCUCGAGUGGCGAACGGGUGAGUAACACGUGAGUAACCUGCCCUUGACUUUGGGAUAACUUCAGGAAACUGGGGCUACUACCGGAUAGGAGCUCCUGCUGCAUGGUGGGGGUUGGAACGUUUCGGCGGUUGGGGAUGGACUCGCGGCUUAUCAGCUUGUUGGUGGGGUAGUGGCUUACCAAGGCUUUGACGGGUAGCCGGCCUGAGAGGGUGACCGGCCACAUUGGGACUGAGAUACGGCCCAGACUCCUACGGGAGGCAGCAGGCGGGAAUAUUGCACAAUGGGCGGAAGCCGGAUGCAGCAACGCCGCGUGCGGGAUGACGGCCUUCGGGUUGUAAACCGCUGUCGCCUGUGACGAAGCGUGAGUGACGGUAAUGGGUAAAGAAGCACCGGCUAACUACGUG